rnacentral:rRNA from 1 species
UGGGGAAUAUUGCGCAAUGGGCGAAAGCCUGACGCAGCGACGCCGCGUGGAGGAUGAAGGUCUUCGGAUUGUAAACUUCUGUUAAGUGAGAGGAAAUACCCAUACUUAAUACGUAUGGGGGAUGACUGUAUCAUUAGAGAAAGCACCGGCUAAACUCGUGCCAGCAGCCGCGGUAAUACGAGUGGUGCAAGCGUUAUUCGGAAUAAUUGGGCGUAAAGGGUGUGUAGACGGCAUGCUAAGUCAAUUGUUAAAUUCUCCGGCCUAACCGGAGGCAAGCAGUAGAAACUGGCGUGCUAGAGGGUGGAAGAGAGAAGCGGAAUUCUCGGAGUAGCGGUAAAAUGCGUAGAUCUCGAGAGGAACACCAAUGGCGAAGGCAGCUUCUUGGUCCAUUUCUGACGUUGAAACACGAAAGCGUGGGGAGCAAACAGGAUUAGAUACCCCCGUAGUCC